ensembl:lncRNA
CUUCACCUCUGGACUGUGGAGGAGGGAGUGGCAUUGAACAGAAAGGAGGGUGUGUGACGGCCAGAGAAGGAGCUUUCUGCUUUCACGCGUUGCCAAGCAGUGAAAGAGUGUCUGUCACAGAGGACAAGCAAAGAGACAGAGCGGAAAAGUUGGACAAGAAAGAAAGAGACAAAGGGAGAAAGCUGGUUAGAGAGAAGAGAGCUGAAAAGAGCUCCUAUCUACCGUCCCACCCCCUGAUCUUCCUCCUCUCAGCUCAGACGGGAAGAAGAAAAAAAGGAAAAAGGAGUGCAGAGAGAGAGAGAGGUAGAGCUCAGCCUCGCUCGCUCUUUAGCGCAGGACUCAGGAAUUUCCAGGACCUUUGGAGUUGUGAGCGCUCACAUGCACACGCUGCUUUUCUCGUGGUGAUACGAACCUGAGCAGAGAGGCAGUGAAAAGGAAAGAAAAGAAGGCGAGGGAAUGAGUGAAUAACCAGCUCCUCCAGUGGACUAUCUGGCCAACGAUGGCACCUGCCGAGGAGAAAGUGAGUCAGAGGAGCUGCUGAUGAAGGUUUCCCAGAGACUAUGGGUUGAGGAGGAAUUGGAAGUUUGUCAGCUUAGACCUGGUGUCAUUCCAUCAGUGUUAAACUUCCCGGCUCAUCUUGGAAGAGUAUGUGCCAGAAAGACCACGACCAAGCAGCCCUGAGAUCUUAGACAGCGUCUCCCUGAGGUGGGUGUCGACGGUGUUCACAGUCAGGUCUGUAGAGGGGGGAGGCCGCCACCCACCUCCCCGCCUACUCUCCGCCCUGACUCCACCCAGACUCCGCCUUGGCUGCACCCAUGUGGUCACUUUAUUAACUAUGAUGCCAAAGGGAUGAUGAAAUUACUUUUUUUUAUCUGAUCUAUAGCUCAGUGAGUUAAGGAUUUGCCUGUAGAGCUGCAGGUCGCUGGUUCAAGACCAGACCCUUCUUAAAUUUUAUGAAAAUCCUGACAAAGACAAACAAAGAAAAAUGCCAGUGGUGGGUCUUGAACCUGCAACCUUCCACUUGGUAGUCCCUCUUCUUAUCCCCUGAGCUACUCGCUCAGAUACUAAAUCUUCUUUUUUUUUUUACACAUUUAUCAUCUAUUUUUUUCUCCGUUUUUGAGUUUUUUUUAACUUGAGUCUCGACUCGACCCUUUUUCUCAGGAGGUUGGACUUCAGCCUUUGUGCUGGAGGGUUGAACCCUCAGUUCCAAGACUUUCAAAGCCUCCACACCUCCCGAGUCCUCAGGACCUGAGCUUUCACACAGUCUGAGGGCUGAAAUUUCCUAAGUCCCACAGUAGUUCUCUGUUAGAUUGAACUUCCAGACAGUCCAAGGACUGAUAUCUUCUAAGUUCCUGAGUACUUCUCUGUUAGUUUGAACCUUCAGACAGUCUGAGGACUGAAAUCUUAAAAGUUCUUGAGUAGUUCUCUGUUAGUUUGAACCUUCAGACAGUCUGAGGACUGAAAUUUUAUAAGUUUCUCAGUACUUCUCUGUUAGUUUGAACUUUCUGGUUAGCAGAAGCCUUAAAACUUGUGACCAUGAGUCUUGAUUUCACGUUUAGAUCAUCCACCUGAGUUCUUCUCAGACCUUCACCUGUGGGUUCUUUAGAAAUCCUCAACAAACUUUGAUUCUCUUCACUGAACAGUAAAGUUUGUGGAGAUCAGAAGGUAACAUUAGUUUGAUCAAUGCCUUCAACUACUAGUAGACUUUAUCUGGAAAGCAGUUUUCUGAAAUGAGUUCUUAGUAAAUCUAUCCACAAUCAAACCAAGAACAUAGAAAGAGGAAAUGUUUGAAGAAACAACUUGAUGUUUUCGUUUCAGACUAGAAAACGCUUUAAGAUCUUUAUCUGUUUUUGCUCUUUUUGAUCGUUUUAUUGUCUCUUCUGUUUAAUUUGAUCUUCUAAAGUCUAACUGGUGUCUUUUGAAAUGCUUCGUCUUUAGUUUGAUUCUUCUUAAACGUUUAGUUUUGCUCUUUUCUCACCUUUUAUUCUUUUCUAAUGUCUGAUUUCGAUUUCCGAAUGUUUUGUCUUUUUAAUGUUUAAUUGUUUUUUCAAAUGUUUUAUCGGCUUGUUUGAGUUUCUUUUUCUUUCCCAAUAUUUAAUGUUUCGAUUAAAUCUUUAAGGUUUUUCUUUUUAAAUGUUUUACCA